AUUGAACGCUGGCGGCAUGCUUUACACAUGCAAGUCGAACGGUAACAGGCCUUCGGGUGCUGACGAGUGGCGAACGGGUGAGUAAUGCAUCGGAACGUGCCCAGAGGUGGGGGAUAACGCAGCGAAAGCUGUGCUAAUACCGCAUGUGAUCUGAGGAUGAAAGCGGGGGACCAGGCAGCAAUGUUUGGCCUCGCGCCUUUGGAGCGGCCGAUGUCAGAUUAGGUAGUUGGUGGGGUAAAGGCCUACCAAGCCGACGAUCUGUAGCUGGUCUGAGAGGACGACCAGCCACACUGGGACUGAGACACGGCCCAGACUCCUACGGGAGGCAGCAGUGGGGAAUUUUGGACAAUGGGCGCAAGCCUGAUCCAGCAAUGCCUCGUGCGGGAAGAAGGCCUUCGGGUUGGAAACCGCUUUUGUACGGAACGAAAAGGCUCUGGCUAAUACCUGGGGCUGAUGACGGUACCGGAAGAAUAAGCACCGGCUAACUACGUG
rnacentral:rRNA from 1 species